rnacentral:rRNA from 1 species
GGUUACUGCUAUCGAGGUUCGACUAAGCCAUGCGAGUCGAAUGUAGCAAUACAUGGCGAACUGCUCAGUAACACGUGGACAACCUGCCCUUAGGACGGGGAUAAACCCGGGAAACUGGGUAUAAUACCCGAUAGGUCUCGAUUGCUGGAAUGCAUCGAGAUUUAAAGCUCCGGCGCCUAAGGAUGGGUCUGCGGCCUAUCAGGUAGUAGUGGGUGUAGCGUACCUACUAGCCUACGACGGGUACGGGUUGUGAGAGCAAGAGCCCGGAGAUGGAUUCUGAGACACGAAUCCAGGCCCUACGGGGUGCAGCAGGCGCGAAAACUUUACAAUGCUGGCAACAGCGAUAAGGGAACCUCGAGUGCCAGGUUACAAAUCUGGCUGUCGAGAUGCCUAAAAAGCAUUUCAUAGCAAGGGCCGGGCAAGACCGGUGCCAGCCGCCGCGGUAACACCGGCGGCUCGAGUGGUAACCGUUAUUAUUGGGUCUAAAGGGUCUGUAGCCGGCCGGAUAAGUCUCUUGAGAAAUCUGGCAGCUUAACUGUCAGGCUUUCAGGAGAUACUGUCUGGCUCGAGGCCGGGAGAGGUGAGAGGUACUUCAGGGGUAGGGGUGAAAUCUUGUAAUCCUUGAAGGACCACCAGUGGCGAAGGCGUCUCACCAGAACGGACCUGACGGCAAGGGACGAAAGCUAGGGGCACGAACCGGAUUAGAUACCCGGGUAGUCCUAGCCGUAGACGAUACUCGCUAGGUGUCGGCCACGGUGCGACCGUUGUCGGUGCCGUAGGGAAGCCGUGAAGCGAGCCACCUGGGAAGUACGGCCGCAAGGCUGAAACUUAAAGGAAUUGGCGGGGGAGCACCACAACGGGUGGAGCUUGCGGUUUAAUUGGAGUCAACGCCGGAUUUCCGAUUGAUGAUCCUGUUGGAAUUGGAGUCAACGCCGGA